rnacentral:rRNA from 1 species
CCUACGGGGGGCAGCAGUGGGGAAUAUUGGACAAUGGGGGCAACCCUGAUCCAGCCAUGCCGCGUGUGUGAAGAAGGCCCUCGGGUUGUAAAGCACUUUCAGUGAGGAAGAACGCCUGGUGGUUAAUACCCAUCAGGAAAGACAUCACUCACAGAAGAAGCACCGGCUAACUCCGUGCCAGCAGCCGCGGUAAUACGGAGGGUGCGAGCGUUAAUCGGAAUUACUGGGCGUAAAGCGCGCGUAGGUGGCUUGAUAAGCCGGUUGUGAAAGCCCCGGGCUCAACCUGGGAACGGCAUCCGGAACUGUCAAGCUAGAGUGCAUGAGAGGAAGGUAGAAUUCCCGGUGUAGCGGUGAAAUGCGUAGAGAUCGGGAGGAAUACCAGUGGCGAAGGCGGCCUUCUGGACUGACACUGACACUGAGGUGCGAAAGCGUGGGUAGCAAACAGGAUUAGAUACCCCGGUAGUC